ACUCAAAUGAAUUGACGGGGACUUGCACAAGCAGUGGAUUAUGUGGCUCACAAUUCGAUGAUAAACGAAGAACCUUACCAGGGUUAGAAAUCUAGUUGAAGACUAGAGGAAACUUUAGUCGCCGCAAGGCAAUUAGACAGGUGAUGCAUGGUCGUCGUCAGUUCGUGGUUUGAACUGUUCCCUUAAGUGGGGUAACGAACGCAACCCUCGUUGGCUGUUACAAGUGUCAGCCGAGACUGCUCCGUGAAGAGCGCGUGAACUUAGGUUCGUGCUUUCCUCACGGAGAGGAAGGUGAGGAUGACGCCAGAUCAGCAUGUCCCUCUGAUACCCUGGGCUGCACACAUAAUACAAUCGCUCAUACAACGGGUCGCAAUGCCGCGAGGCGGAGCCAAUCCUUAGAAAAUGAGCGCCAGUUCGGAUUGAAGUCUGCAACUCGACUUCAUGAAGCCGGAAUUGCUAGUAAUCGCGGGUCAGCUAUACCGCGGUGAAUACGUUCUCAAGUCUUGUACACACCGCCCGU
rnacentral:rRNA from 1 species